rnacentral:rRNA from 1 species
GUCUGCAGCCAUACCGACAUGAACUUGCCCAUCUUGUCUGAUCUCGGAAGCUAAGCAGGGUUGGGCCAGGUUAGUGCUUGGAUGGGGGAAAGUUAGAGGCGAAAGAGG